GUCAGUCAUGUGAUAGUGAAACACACACCCAGUUCUUUGAGAGAGAUAAAAAGGGAUUACACCAGACAGGAAGGGAGGCUGAUGGGAAGAAGCUUGAUGGGAGAUGGCUGGAGCUGAUCCCUGGAAGGCUGAUCUCUGAUCUCUGAAGGAAGCUGGAAGGGAGAGAUUGACCGCAAAGAUGUAGGGGAAUGAAGAGGGUCCUUCAUUAGGACUUUCCCUUCUCAAACAGAAAGAUCUCUUACAUACUGAAAAUGAUUGACAAUCCAGACCAGAUCGUUGAUUGGUAAAGGUGAAAUGACCUACCAAAGACGCAACGAUCGCAUGGAUGAUGUUAAUCCUUGGCAUCCCACUCCGGAGGGAACCGUCACCAAACCACACUCCAGACCAGAUCGUUGAUUGGUAAAGACGAAGUUAACCACCAAAAGAUACCGCGAUCGUCUGGAUGAAACUAAUCCGUGAUGCCCAGUUCCGGAUGGAACCUGCCGCCACAUCGAAUCCUUCAUCAGGAGUCAUGAAGCAAGAUACUCCAGGAUUUGUAUUGUCGGAAAGAAAGAUUUGUUGCAGAAGUCCCUUGUUUAUUUGAAUCCCAGAAUAUCCGUUGAAAGAAGGGAUAUUGAAUCCCAUUUACAGCUUGUAACACUACAAGAGCGGAUUCACUGAAGAGUUUCUUCAAUUGCUGGUUUACCGGUUUUGUUUUUAUUACAUUUGAAAUGGGGGGGUGACACCACCACUGCAACAGUUCAUUUUGUUUUUAUAAAGACUUGAACUCAUCAAGGAAGAUCCAAGUCAUACAAGAACACUCUCUAUCAUAUGGACGAAGAGAGGAACAUUUUUAGUGUAAAGAAAAAUAAUAAUGUGGCCAUAUCUUUUUAACCACUGAUAUUUCUUCGGACACCGUUUCUUCAUAGGUCUUUGGCUAUUCGCCACACUAUAUAAAGAACGUGGGGGGGAUUUGUCGGAACAUUUGGGGUUAAAAGAAUACAUAUAAAGAUCGCACAUAAUACAUGUUUCAUAGUGCUCCAUAUACAGGGAUAUGAUGAACUGAAGCACAGCUAUUUGUCCCUGUUAGAGUUUAAACAAAGGUUCUCAGGCAUGAAUAGACACUGUUUUUAGGUUGUAAAGAGCCUGCCUGUGCUAUCUCCCCAAAUCAUAUCUCCUGGGGUUCGACACUUAUAAGAUAAGAGAAUGAAAAGCCUGGCACGGCAUGACACUAAACACAGUGUGGUCUCUGUGUUAUGAAACUAAAGGGGCUAUUCACAAUCCCAGUGAAAUUGUAUAUCUUAAAUAGUAUUGUAUCUAUUGUAUCUUUAUAAUGCCACAACAACAACAUGUAUAUCAGUAAUUCACAUAAUACUACUCGUUAAUACAUAGACACUACUGGGGUCCCAGGUAUAAGAUCCUAAAAUAACUUCAAAGUAUUAGACUGCCUUGAUCACAGCCCGACAUUAGUUUAAAGGAACUUUCCAAGGCAUGUGUGUUGAUCAUAAAACCUUAUCUCAAUCAUAACUUUAGACUUUGCCAAGAUGUCUGACAAUUGUGACAUACAGGACAAUUUAUGGGAGGGUUUUAUAGGCCCAAGUUAGAGAGGUCAUAAGUCAUGAUUAACUCUGCUUGACCUCAUCAUUAGGAAUAAUUCCUUACACGCUACUGCCCCCCUCCAGGUUAAUAUCGGCAUUGGGUCAAGAUAGUCACUGACCAAAACAUAGCAUCAUGUGACAUCGUCGGUCAUGUGAUAGUGAAACACACACCCAGUUCUUUGAGAGAGAUAAAAAGGGAUUACACCAGACAGGAAGGGAGGCUGAUGGGAAGAAGCUUGAUGGGAGAUGGCUUGAGCUGAUCCCUGGAAGGCUGAUCUCUGAAGGAAGCUGGAAGGGAGAGAUUGACCGCAAAGAUGUAGGGGAAUGAAGAGGGUCCUUCAUUAGGACUUUCCCUUCUCAAACAGAAAGAUCUCUUACAUACUGGUAACGUAUAAUCUUGAUUAUUUACCUUUUUGGUAAUUCAGAGAUUUUCACAUACACACACACAACUAAAACCGUGUAAAUAUACUUGGCAAAUAUAAUUUGGAAAUUGGUUAUGUCUAACUGCAGCAUGACGUAAUUGUAUUCCAAAUAUUAAAGACAUACGCAUUACGUUUGACUUUGAAAAGCUAAGUGCCAAUGAUGGUAAAUCGGUUUUAGAGUGAGGGCGUAUGUGAAGAUAUAUCCUCACCAAAUUUAACAAAAGCUUGUGUACAACAUAACAUUUGUUAUGUACACAUAUUUAAGAAGCAGUAGCAAGAGAUCUGUUUGUUAUUGAGAAGAAAUAAUACAAUGUUAAGGUUAUGUCACCAAAAGCUAAAAUGUUUCAAAUACGCCAAGAUGAUUUAAUACCAAGAGCUAGGAAUAUUCCUUGUCAUAAUAUUGUAAAUAUUAUCUAAAACAUUCAACCAUUGCUUAUUUCUGAUUAUAGAAACAUAUCAUUUAUUUGUUGUAAUACGAAUUGUACCUGAUUUUAGAUUUUGCACUGUACCUUUAGUUAAUAAAUAUAUAUAUUUUA